rnacentral:rRNA from 1 species
AUUGAACGCUGGCGGCAGGCUUAACACAUGCAAGUCGAGCGAGCGGCGGACGGGUGAGUAAUGUCUGGGAAACUGCCUGAUGGAGGGGGAUAACUACUGGCAACGGUAGCUAAUACCGCAUACCAUCAGAUGUGCCCAGAUGGGAUUGGCUAGGAGGUGGGGUAAUGGCUCACCUAGGCGACGAUCCCUAGCUGGUCUGAGAGGAUGACCGGCAACACUGGAACGGAGACAUGGUCCAGACGCCUACGGGAGGAAGCAGUGGGGAAGAUUGCACAAGGGGCGCAAGCCGGAUGCAGCCAGGCCGCGUGUGGGAAGAAGGCCUGCGGGUUGUAAAGCACUUUCAGCGAGGAGGCGUUACUCGCAGAAGAAGCACCGGCUAACUCCGUGCCAGCAGCCGCGGUAAUUC